UCAUACUUAGCCAUUAAGCAAUUUCUCUCCACCACUUAAAUUUCCUCAAUUAUCCAUGAUAAUAUUGGGUAAAAUCCAUGUGCUGGACAAGUGUUGGGUGGUGUAAAAUUAUAAUUUUGCCCCUGGGGUGGCAAAUUGACUAUUUUACCCCUAUGCUUGAAAAAAUGUCGGAAUUAAAAUUUUUCACUUCUCAAACUCAAGUUAUGUUCUAAAUAGUCAAUCUUGAUCAAAAACUUCUUCCAACAUUCCAAUUUUUUACCUCUAGAUCAUGAAAAUUCCAAUGUGACUCCAAAUCGGUUCUUGAACUCCGAAUCACCAUUUUAAGUUAUUUUAGGGUUUUAAAAUUCUCAAUUUCAUCUUAAAAUCUCUAUUUGGACUAGUUCGAGGCUUAAUUCAACUUAAUUGUACCAUUGGGUACAUUGUCGUCCUUUAACGAUUUUCGAGGUACCCAAGUAAGCAAACAUGCAUUCUUAUGUAGGAAUGGCAUAAUAAACAUAUUGUAGAGUUGGGCUUGACAGCUUAUGAAUUUCUUAAAACUUUGGCUCAUGCCAAAAUCAUUCUCAUACUCAGUUAUUAGGGAUACCUUGGCCGAGGGCUAUCCUAACCGAGACUGCCAAAGUUGUUAAAAAGUUAUGUACGCAUAAAUCAUGUUUUUAUUUUGAAAGCAUAGCCGUUCGUUGCCGUUGGCUGAGUUCACCCUCACGUGGUGGUUUGGCGUGAAGUGAACUCUAAAGUUUUAACCUCAAGAGUUAUCGAACCGUGCCUUUCAUAUUGAGGUAUGAAUAUAAUAGGAUUACCGUGCCCUUCUAAUAGGCUGGUCCACGAAACCCGUCCACUGCAGCGACCAAUAUAUAACCCACCAAUUCAAUAAAAUUCAACAGCAUGACAUGACAAUUAUUUUAUUUUACAGCCUCUCAAGGCAAAUUAACAAUUCAUACAUUUUCAACACAAAUACCAAUUUAGCCAUUCAUGAAAUUAUUAUCAUAAGCCAUUCAAUUCAAACCACGAUUUAUAACACAAUAAUUAAUCUCCAAUUACUCCAUUUUCAAAACCAUCUUUCAAUUUCAAGACAAUUUUAUAAAAUUAUUUUCAUUUAAUCACAUUUUUCUUAUAAAAUAUAAAAAUUUACCAUUUAAACUCAUUUUUCAUAAAAUCACAAAAUCGGAUAAAAACCACUUUAGAUAAUUAAGACGAUAGUAAGGUUACUCACUAUUUCGGGAGUCGAAUUUCGAAUACUCCGAUUCUUGAUCCUCGAGUAUUAUCUCUUUACUUUUGCC
rnacentral:lncRNA from 1 species